rnacentral:rRNA from 1 species
UACGGAGGAUGCAAGCGUUACCCGGAAUGAUUGGGCGUAAAGGGUCCGCAGGUGGCAGUGUAAGUCUGCUGUCAAAGAAUGAGGCUUAACCUCAUCAAGGCAGUGGAAACUACACAGCUAGAGUACGGUCGGGGUAGAAGGAAUUCCUGGUGUAGCGGUGAAAUGCGUAGAGAUCAGGAAGAACACCGGUGGCGAAAGCGUUCUGCUAGACCUGUACUGACACUGAGGGACGAAAGCUAGGGGAGCGAAUGGG